AACGUAGGUGGCAAGCGUUAUCCGGAUUUACUGGGCGUAAGGCGUGUGCAGGCGGGUGGGCAAGUGGGGUAUGAAAUCGCCAGGCUAAACCUGGCGGGGUUAUGCCAGACUGUCCGUCUGGAGUGCGAGAGAGGAGCGUGGAAUUCCUGGUGUAGCGGUGAAAUGCGCAGAUAUCAGGAGGAACACCGGUGGCGAAGGCGGGUCUCUGGGCCGAUACUGACGCUGAGGAGCGAAAGCGUGGGGAGCGAACAGG
rnacentral:rRNA from 1 species